rnacentral:lncRNA from 1 species
GGUAAGUAUUUUUUUAAGUUUUGAAGUUUGGUUUCUCUUUAACUUUCGAUAUUAGUUUUUGAGUAUUAUGUUGGAUAUUUUUUAGUCAAGAAAGUGAUCAAAAUCAUCCAGAAACUCUACCAAAUUUUUAAGAGAAAAAUGUCAUAAAUAAAGACAAAACUCUGCCAAAUUAAGAUUGCGACUGCUAAGGACCUAAGGUAAGUGAGUAUUAUGAUUUUGUUAGCCUAUGUAG